rnacentral:rRNA from 1 species
UACGGAGGAUGCGAGCGUUAUCCGGAUUUAUUGGGUUUAAAGGGUGCGUAGGCGGUCCGUUAAGUCAGCGGUAAAAUUGCGGGGCUCAACCCCGUCGAGCCGUUGAAACUGGCAGACUUGAGUUGGCGAGAAGUACGCGGAAUGCGCGGUGUAGCGGUGAAAUGCUUAGAUAUCAUGAAGAACUCCGAUCGCGAAGGCAAGUGUCCGGGGUGCAACUGACGCUGAGGCUCGAAAGUGCGGGUAUCAAACAGG